GACGAACGCUGGCGGCGUGCUUAACACAUGCAAGUCGAACGAUGAAGCCUAGCUUGCUAGGUGGAUUAGUGGCGAACGGGUGAGUAAUACGUGAGUAACCUACCUUUAACUCUGGGAUAAGCCUGGGAAACUGGGUCUAAUACCGGAUACGACCAAUCUCCGCAUGGAGUGUUGGUGGAAAGCGUUAUGUAGUGGUUAUAGAUGGGCUCACGGCCUAUCAGCUUGUUGGUGAGGUAACGGCUCACCAAGGCGACGACGGGUAGCCGGCCUGAGAGGGUGACCGGCCACACUGGGACUGAGACACGGCCCAGACUCCUACGGGAGGCAGCAGUGGGGAAUAUUGCACAAUGGGCGCAAGCCUGAUGCAGCGACGCCGCGUGAGGGAUGACGGCCUUCGGGUUGUAAACCUCUGUUAGCAGGGAAGAAGAGAAAUUGACGGUACCCGCAGAGAAAGCGCCGGCUAACUACGUGCCAGCAGCCGCGGUAAUACGUAGGGCGCGAGCGUUGUCCGGAAUUAUUGGGCGUAAAGAGCUUGUAGGCGGUUUGUCGCGUCUGCUGUGAAAGGCCGGGGCUUAACCCCGUGUAUUGCAGUGGGUACGGGCAGACUAGAGUGCAGUAGGGGAGACUGGAAUUCCUGGUGUAGCGGUGGAAUGCGCAGAUAUCAGGAAGAACACCGAUGGCGAAGGCAGGUCUCUGGGCUGUAACUGACGCUGAGAAGCGAAAGCAUGGGGAGCGAACAGG
rnacentral:rRNA from 1 species